AAGUCGUAACAAGGUUUCCGUAGGUGAACCUGCGGAAGGAUCAUUAUUGAAAUAAACCUGAUGGGUUGUUGCUGGUUCUCUAGGGAGCAUGUGCACGCCUUGUCAUCUUUAUAUCUCCACCUGUGCACCUUUUGUAGACCUUCCAGGUCUAUGUUGCUUCAUUUACCCCAAUGUAUGUUAAUAGAAUGUUGUGAUUAUAAAAAAUAUACAACUUUCAGCAACGGAUCUCUUGGCUCUCGCAUCGAUGAAGAACGCAGCGAAAUGCGAUAAGUAAUGUGAAUUGCAGAAUUCAGUGAAUCAUCGAAUCUUUGAACGCACCUUGCGCUCCUUGGUAUUCCGAGGAGCAUGCCUGUUUGAGUGUCAUUAAUAUAUAUAUCAACCUUCACUUGUUGAAUGGUUUGGAUGUGGGGGUUUGCUGGACUCUUGAAGGGUUCAGCUCCUCUGAAAUGCAUUAGCAGAACAAUCUGUUCAUUGGUGUGAUAACUAUCUACGCUCUUGAAUAAGAUGCAGUUCAGCUUUCUAACUGUCCUUGGACAAUUUAUCAUUUAUGUGACCUCAAAUCAGGUAGGACUACCCGCUGAACUUAA
rnacentral:rRNA from 1 species